rnacentral:rRNA from 1 species
CAGUAUCCGCCACAAGAGAACGAUGACCCGCUCUGGACUCCUGACGGAGGCCGCAGUCCUGAAUGAGGCUCCAGUGGGGGAUGUUUGACACAGGCGGGUAGCGUGCACGAGGAAUGCCGUAUGAGGGAAGAAGUUUUUUGAUUUGUAAACAUUUGUCAUCGGGAAUGAUAAUUUCGGUACUACAGAAGGAAUACGGGUCGAACUACUUCCCAGCAGCAGCCGUAAUAAUUAGGUGGCUACGAUUGUCCUCAAGAAUUAGGGGUAAAAAGAGGGUAGUAGGGAGAAAAAUUCAUCAGUGAAAAAAUCGGGCUCAACACAUAUAGAACACCCGAAGAAAUGGUUUUUGAGUGAUACAGAGGCAAGCGGAAUUCUUAGUGUAGCGGUAAAAUGCGUAGAUAUUAGGAGGAACACCAGUGGUGAAGAAGGCAGGUUGGUAAAUUAUCGACGACGAGGCUGCAAAAAAGGGGGAGCAUCCAACAUGAGAUGACACCGUGGUACUCCCCGUAAUCGAUGAUGAUUAGGGGUGGUGGAGGAGACAUCUUCAAGU